rnacentral:lncRNA from 1 species
GUUUAGUUUGAUAUGUGAGUAAAGCAAAUAGUAACCAAAACUAAUAAUUAAGGUAAAAGUACGUUUCUUGAAUUAGACCUCUAAUGUAGAAUUUUCUUAUUAUGUUAGAUGUUUGUAAGUUCCGAAAGGUGGAGACAAAUGUUGGAAGCGUGCAGUAAUAAAGAUAGUCCCUUAGAGGACAAUAAAGAACUGUGAGUAGUGUUAGAUAACUAGUAUCAUCCACCUGCAUUCAUGCAUUCACGGCUAAAUGUUAUCAUGCAUUAUUUUGUUGAAUUGUCAU